UGGGUUCACCGCCAGGCGAAAGGUCUUGAAAACCGUCGUGGCAGCGAUGUCACCGUGGGUUCAAAUCCCACACCCACCG
rnacentral:tRNA from 1 species